rnacentral:piRNA from 7 species
UAGCUCAGUCGGUAGAGCAUCAGAC